rnacentral:rRNA from 1 species
UAUAAUGCAGUCGACGCUUUGUGGUUCACUGAUUUGAAGAGCUUGCUCAGAUAUGACGAUGGACAUUGCAAAGAGUGGCGAACGGGUGAGUAACACGUGGGAAACCUACCUCUUAGCAGGGGAUAACAUUUGGAAACAGAUGCUAAUACCGUAUAACAAUGACAACCGCAUGGUUGUUAUUUAAAAGAUGGUUCUGCUAUCACUAAGAGAUGGUCCCGCGGUGCAUUAGCUAGUUGGUAAGGUAAUGGCUUACCAAGGCGAUGAUGCAUAGCCGAGUUGAGAGACUGAUCGGCCACAAUGGGACUGAGACACGGCCCAUACUCCUACGGGAGGCAGCAGUAGGGAAUCUUCCACAAUGGGCGAAAGCCUGAUGGAGCAACGCCGCGUGUGUGAUGAAGGGUUUCGGCUCGUAAAACACUGUUGUAAGAGAAGAAUGACAUUGAGAGUAACUGUUCAAUGUGUGACGGUAUCUUACCAGAAAGGAACGGCUAAAUACGUGCCAGCAGCCGCGGUAAUACGUAUGUUCCAAGCGUUAUCCGGAUUUAUUGGGCGUAAAGCGAGCGCAGACGGUUAUUUAAGUCUGAAGUGAAAGCCCUCAGCUCAACUGAGGAAUUGCUUUGGAAACUGGAUGACUUGAGUGCAGUAGAGGAAAGUGGAACUCCAUGUGUAGCGGUGAAAUGCGUAGAUAUAUGGAAGAACACCAGUGGCGAAGGCGGCUUUCUGGACUGUAACUGACGUUGAGGCUCGAAAGUGUGGGUAGCAAACAGGAUUAGAUACCCUGGUAGUCCACACCGUAAACG